CCUACGGGAGGCAGCAGUGGGGAAUAUUGCACAAUGGGGGAAACCCUGAUGCAGCGACGCCGCGUGAGCGAUGAAGUAUUUCGGUAUGUAAAGCUCUAUCAGCAGGGAAGAAAAUGACGGUACCUGACUAAGAAGCCCCGGCUAACUACGUGCCAGCAGCCGCGGUAAUACGUAGGGGGCAAGCGUUAUCCGGAUUUACUGGGUGUAAAGGGAGCGUAGACGGUCCUGCAAGCCAGAUGUGAAAGCCCGGGGCUCAACCCCGGGACUGCAUUUGGAACUGUAAGGCUAGAGUGUCGGAGAGGCAGGCGGAAUUCCUAGUGUAGCGGUGAAAUGCGUAGAUAUUAGGAGGAACACCAGUGGCGAAGGCGGCAUACCGGUGCACAACUGACGCUCAGGCACGAAAGCGUGGGUAUCGAACAGGAUUAGAUACCCGAGUAGUC
rnacentral:rRNA from 1 species